CUGGUUGGUGGGGUAAGAGCCUACCAAGGCGACGAUCGGUAGCUGGUCUGAGAGGACGAUCAGCCACACUGGGAUUGAGAACGGCCCAGACUCCUACGGGGGGCAGCAGUGAGGAAUUUUCCGCAAUGGACGAAAGUCUGACGGAGCAACGCCGCGUGCAGGAGGACGCUUUUCGGAGUGUAAACUGCUUUUCUGUGGGAAGAGCUACGGACGGUACCACAGGAAGAAGCCCCGGCUAACUACGUGCCAGCAGCCGCGGUAAUACGUAGGGGGCGAGCGUUGUCCGGAGUUACUGGGCGUAAAGGGCAUGCAGGCGGUCGUACGCGUUUUGUGUGACAGCGGGUGGCUUAACUACCCGAGUAUGCGAAAGACGGUAUGACUUGAGGGCUCGAGAGGGACACGGAAUUCCGGGUGGAGUGGUGAAAUGCGUAGAGAUCCGGAGGAACACCGAAGGCGAAGGCAGUGUCCUGGCGAGUGACUGACGCUGAGGUGCGAAAGCUAGGGGAGCGAACGGGAUUAGAUACCCCGGUAGUCCUAGCCGUAAACGAUGACCACCAGGUGUGGGAGGUAUCGACCCCUUCCGUGCCGGAGUUAACACACUAAGUGGUCCGCCUGGGGAGUACGGUCGCAAGAUUAAAACUCAAAGGAAUUGACG
rnacentral:rRNA from 1 species